rnacentral:sRNA from 1 species
GCUAGGCAUGGUAGUGCAUGCCUGUAAUCUUAGCUACUCAGGAGGCUGAGGCAGGAGAAUCACUUGAACCCGGGAGGUGGAGGUUGCAGUGAGCCGAGAUCGUGCCACUGCACUCCAGCCUGGGCAACAGAGUGAGAUUCUGUCUCAA